GCAUUUCUUAAUUUUAUCAAUAUAUUUCAGACAGGAUGAAUGACGAGGCGUCCUUUCUCCAGGAGCAGACCUGUAAGAUGAUCAGGUCAAUCCUGCUCACAUGUAAAGGUGGAACAACAGCGGAGAGAUUGUACUCUGAUUACAAAAAUAUGGUUGGCGAAGGAAUCCCUUACCGGAGACUAGGAUACGAUUCAUUAAACAAUUUUCUUAAAAGUAUUCCGGACUAUUGUAGAACCACCAGGAACAAUAAGGGUGAAGUUAUGGUUACAAGUGUAGCAGACGAAUCUACACGACACAUGCAAGAUCUUCUCGAGAGAUCUAAAGUUAAGAAACGUCUGCCUGUAAACCGUCCUACCCGGAGACCUCUUCAAACCUCAACACAUUGGAACCCGCCCCAGCAGCAACAGCAAUAUGUUCCAGGCGGAAGAGGUCGUUUUCCACCAAACAUCCGACCAUUUGGUCGUGGAGGAGGUCAAGGACCGCCUAGAGGUAUGGGUAGAGGGGGUGGGGGAGGUCCAGGAUAUAACAGAGGUGGAAUGAUGCGAGGAGGUAUGAUGAGAGGAAAUAAUAGAUUCAACAGUGUUGAAAGAACUCCCUUGAGAGAACCUCGGGCUAACUACGGUAGAGGAGUAGGACCUAGAUCACCUGGCAGCUAUAAUCCAGGUCCCAAGGGAUAUCCUUCCAGUAAACAGAUCAAAUCUCCUCCUAGGCCUCAGCAGAAUAGACAAAACUCCAAACCUCAGACCAACUAUAAGGAGGAUCUUGAGAAAUAUUUCAAUCAGAACAACCUGGGCGAAGUUCCAUACAAGGUUGCAGCUGUUGGAACUAAAGGAAAGGAGAAGUUUAUGGCAACUGUAACCGUGGAGGGAACUCAGUUCAAAACAUAUCCUCAAACCUACUCUACACGGGCUGAGGCAGAGGAAGCUGUAGCAGCUGAGGUUGUAAAGAAGAUGGGUAUACUGACAGGUGGAGACUCAGGGAGCAGUACGGAGACAACGGAUCCUAAACUUUACUCCGACCGAGUUGCAGAGUUGCUAGGAAACCGACAUAACGGAGUUUGGUCCACCCAGGUUGAGAAAGAGUAUCAAGCAAAGUUUACGGAGAAGUUACCGAGUCUCUGGUAUCAGGAGGCGGGGGCUCUCAAUAAGAUCAGGGUGGACUGUCCUGUCCUGGGCUCAGGACGGUAUAUCGUGUUCCCUGCUCUUGCGUCUCAUCCAAAGAAGGAAUUAUCUCCGGAGGUGGUUCAAGUCGGAGCUCAGGUUCCUCCUGCUAACCUGGAGUAUCCGGUAGAAGAUAUCUGGGAUGUUUACGUCCUGUAUAUUAGAUCAACAACUAACGUUAGUGUUCGACUCAUUGGAGCCGAGUACUCUGAGAGGUUUGAUGAAUUAAGUGCCACCAUGGAUCUCCAUUACUAUGACAAAUCCUCAAUACCUGGAGUUCAGAAGCCGGAGAUAGGUAAGCUCUACGCGGCAUACGUUUCCUCAGACUGGCAUCGUGUCAAGGUUGUAGAACUUCGCGGCAUUCUCUGCACUUGCUACUUUCUGGACCAUGGAGAUCAAGAUACUAUACCAGUCGAGGAUCUCAGGGAGAUAGCUCCUAAAUUCCUGGAGUUAUCUGCCCAAGCAAUCAAUAUUACCCUCUCUGGACUCGAGGAUUAUGAAUAUAACGAUAAUAUUGUGGCGCGUCUAAAUGAACAUUUGUUGGGGAAAUCUUUGGUUGCGAAGGUGGACAAUCGAAGUCAACUAGCCUCGGCCUACAAGGCAAGUCUUAAACCUCGAAUGGUGCUUUUUGAUACUUCCAGCGACGAUGUUGAUGUUAAUAUUAACCAGAAACUAAUAGAACUUGUCAUAUCAGAGGACUAUCAAUGUCGUCUUCCGUUGCCAGGAGGAGAAGAGAUACAAGUUUGUAUUUCUCAUAUAUCAGCAACAGGUGAUAUUUAUGUACAGAAGGAAGCAAAUUCGUACUCAGCAAUAGAGAAACUCAUCAAUGAAAUUGCGGACAAAGUUUCUAGCUCCGGACCUUCUGGAAUUAUAGGAAUGAACCAACUUUAUCUUGCUAAAUUCUCAGAAGACGGUAAACUAUACCGAGCCGAACUUGUAUCUCCAGAUAAAAAGAACGACAAAUACGAGGUUCUUUUCGUAGAUUUUGGGAACACUUCCCUAGUUGAUCCGUCGGAGAUUUAUAAUCUGUCCAACUUGAACGAGUCUCUGGCUGACCUGCCUCGACUAGCCCUGAAAUGCAAACUUCAUGGUGUUCCUCCUGAGGGAUAUACCUGGAGCGAAGGAGCAACCAAGGCACUACGUGAACUAGUUCCGGAGAACCAACUGGUUAAACUCAAGGUUCUAGGCGGGGAGACGGAUUUUCCUGAGGUAGAGCUCAACCAGACGGAAAGUAACCAGGGUUCAAUCAAUUUUGAUCUUUCUACGGAGUUUGACAUUUUCCCCGCACUUCCAGCAAGAUCAGCGGAAAGUUCGGCACUUUCCUCGCCCGCUAAGGUAGCAACCAAUGGCAUCGAGAAGCCUAUCCCAGAGCUAUCCAGUGAAAUAGAUGCCGUGUCUGACGCAUUGAACCAAGUACCCGGAGAUUUAUCUAACCUUAAACCUCUCACCUCUCCUUCUAUUCCUGCUGAAGGAGAGCAUUUCGACGUUAAGGUCACAUGUGCUGUUUCUCCGUCCAACUUUAUAGUUCAACCCUACAACGAGAUGGAGAACUUGCAAGCUCUAAUGUCGGAGAUGGACUCGUUCUACACAACAGAGACCAACCUUAGGGAGGUGACAUUGGAGAGUUUAUCUGAGGGUGAAUAUCUAGCAGGCCGACAUUCGGAUGGAUAUUGGUACAGGGUCAGGAUAACCAAACUCAUUGAUCAAAAUAGUGCGGCUGUACGAUUAGUAGACUACGGAGAUUUAUCUAUGAUAAAUAUCUCCGAUAUUCAACCUUUAUGGAAGCAGUUUAGAAACCUUCCUCUGCAAGCAAUCAACGCUAAGCUGGCGAAUAUUCUUCCCGUGGAGGUUGAUUGGAGGCCGGAGGACACAGUAUGGUUCAGCAACCGGGUUGCGGACCAGGAGUUUGUCUCACUCGUCAAGAAAGUAAGUCCAAGCAUCGGAGACGAUUUCGAGUGUGUUGUGGAAUUAACCCUGAUAGAUACAACCCAUCCUUCCGUGGAUAAGUUUAUAGACCAGGAGUUGAUCGAAGAGAGAAGAGCUAUCUCAACCCUGUCAAGUGAUAGAGGUUCGGAGUAACUGAGAACAUUUAAACCAGGCCUGGAAAUUAUAUUCUCUUGUCGUAAAAAGUAAAUAUUCAAAACAUACAGUUGGUUGGAGUUUAUAUCAAUAUAUACAAUACAAAUAUACCGAAACUAAAUAUAUUAAACCAGUAUUUUACUCCAUAAUUAACUAUUCCUCAUUUAGCUCAUUUUUUCCUGGUGACAAUGCACAUUAUGAGCCACAGAAGUUUUAAGGGCUGGUCCUUAAAUUUGUCACAAACCGGACUUUUUAAGGUUUUCCCUUUGCAUGCCAUGCUUUUUUAUUAUGUAUGUUACCUUAACCCGAAAUGUUUGAUAAUAGUAAACCUUAAUAAUCUUCUACUCACAACAUAUGAGACAAACAUUAAAAAAAUUAUCAAACUUCCUAUAAGAUGAAAUUUGUCAAUUUACUUAACAAUAAGUUAAAUGUUUAACGCAUAAUUCGUUGUGUUAAUUUUCCUGUUAUUUCCUUAUUUCUCAGAUUAUCACUAAAUAAAAUAAAGAUCUGGAAAUAAUAAUGAUUUACGUAUACAUUGUAAUUUUCUCGAUCAGUUUAAAAUUGUGAUUAUUUGUUUGAUAUACCUUUGAUACCUUUUUAUAAAAAUUUACACAGAUCAGACGUUAAAUUUUCUGUUCUCAGUCAACAGAACAUUUGAAAAUAUGUUUCGAAAUGUUUCCUAAUUUUAUACAGAUAUUCGAUUUGAGCCGGUAACUUAUGAAUUAGAUGGAGUUAAGCUGCUUAGUUUAACACGUUAACCAUAGUUGAAACUAAUGAAUUUAGGAAUCCAGAUUAAUUUUGUUGGCCGAAUUUUUAAGUUCUAAGGUCUGAAAUAAUGAAAUGCGAGAAUCAGUUGAAUUAGAUUUGUUCACUUCCAACACUUCUUGUAAAAAUUUCAAAGUUUCCAGCUCAAUUUGAGCGAGAAUAUCCACGGGCUAAGUUUUUUUGUUGCCUUGGUUCAGUUCUCCCUAAAACUUAUCUUUUGAACGUCAAGCUUGGAGAAAUCCGAUACAAAUUGUUACCAGCCUUCGCUGUAAAAGUUUAAUUAUGUUAAUUAUUAUUAAUAACAAUAAACCGCAUUUUUUUCAA
rnacentral:misc_RNA from 1 species